GACGAACGCUGGCGGCGUGCUUAACACAUGCAAGUCGAACGCGUGGCGAACGGGUGAGUACUACGCUGGUAACCUGCCCUCUUUUUGGGAUCAGCCUUGGAAACGGGGUCUAAUAACGAAUUAAGGGGGAUGGGAUCGGGGCCUAUCAGCUUGUUGGGGGGGUGAUGGCCUAACAAGGCGGUGACGGGUAGCCGGCCUGAGAUGGUGACCGGCCAGAGUGGGAGUGAAGAACGGCCCAGACGCCUACGGGGGGGAGCAGUGGGGGAUAUUGCACAAUGGGAGAAAGCAUGAUGCAGCGACGCAGCGUGGGGGAUGGAGUCUAUCGGGUUGUAAACCUGUUUGGCUAGCGAACGGGUAGGUGGAGAAGAAGCGCCGGCUAACUACGUGCCAGCAGCCGCGGUAAUAC
rnacentral:rRNA from 1 species